ensembl:snRNA U6 U6 spliceosomal RNA
GUGCAUGCAUCAGCAGCACAUAUCCUAAUAUUGGUAUGAUACAGAGAACAUUAACAUGGCUCCUGUACAAGGUAACAUGCAAAUUCAUAAAGUGUUCCAUAUUUAC